rnacentral:rRNA from 2 species
GCCCAUUGAUUGAUGGUGCUUGCACCUGAUUGAUUUUGGUCGCCAACGAGUGGCGGACGGGUGAGUAACACGUAGGUAACCUGCCCAGAAGCGGGGGACAACAUUUGGAAACAGAUGCUAAUACCGCAUAACAGCGUUGUUCGCAUGAACAACGCUUAAAAGAUGGCUUCUCGCUAUCACUUCUGGAUGGACCUGCGGUGCAUUAGCUUGUUGGUGGGGUAACGGCCUACCAAGGCGAUGAUGCAUAGCCGAGUUGAGAGACUGAUCGGCCACAAUGGGACUGAGACACGGCCCAUACUCCUACGGGAGGCAGCAGUAGGGAAUCUUCCACAAUGGGCGCAAGCCUGAUGGAGCAACACCGCGUGAGUGAAGAAGGGUUUCGGCUCGUAAAGCUCUGUUGUUAAAGAAGAACACGUAUGAGAGUAACUGUUCAUACGUUGACGGUAUUUAACCAGAAAGUCACGGCUAACUACGUGCCAGCAGCCGCGGUAAUACGUAGGUGGCAAGCGUUAUCCGGAUUUAUUGGGCGUAAAGAGAGUGCAGGCGGUUUUCUAAGUCUGAUGUGAAAGCCUUCGGCUUAACCGGAGAAGUGCAUCGGAAACUGGAUAACUUGAGUGCAGAAGAGGGUAGUGGAACUCCAUGUGUAGCGGUGGAAUGCGUAGAUAUAUGGAAGAACACCAGUGGCGAAGGCGGCUACCUGGUCUGCAACUGACGCUGAGACUCGAAAGCAUGGGUAGCGAACAGGAUUAGAUACCCUGGUAGUCCAUGCCGUAAACGAUGAGUGCUAGGUGUUGGAGGGUUUCCGCCCUUCAGUGCCGGAGCUAACGCAUUAAGCACUCCGCCUGGGGAGUACGACCGCAAGGUUGAAACUCAAAGGAAUUGACGGGGGCCCGCACAAGCGGUGGAGCAUGUGGUUUAAUUCGAAGCUACGCGAAGAACCUUACCAGGUCUUGACAUCUUGCGCCAACCCUAGAGAUAGGGCGUUUCCUUCGGGAACGCAAUGACAGGUGGUGCAUGGUCGUCGUCAGCUCGUGUCGUGAGAUGUUGGGUUAAGUCCCGCAACGAGCGCAACCCUUGUUACUAGUUGCCAGCAUUAAGUUGGGCACUCUAGUGAGACUGCCGGUGACAAACCGGAGGAAGGUGGGGACGACGUCAGAUCAUCAUGCCCCUUAUGACCUGGGCUACACACGUGCUACAAUGGACGGUACAACGAGUCGCGAACUCGCGAGGGCAAGCAAAUCUCUUAAAACCGUUCUCAGUUCGGACUGCAGGCUGCAACUCGCCUGCACGAAGUCGGAAUCGCUAGUAAUCGCGGAUCAGCAUGCCGCGGUGAAUACGUUCCCGGGCCUUGUACACACCGCCCGUCACACCAUGAGAGUUUGUAACACCCAAAGUCGGUGG